AGACGGAGGGUCCUAGCGUUGUUCGGAAUGACUGGGCGUAAAGGGUACGUAGGCGGUUUGGUCAGUUAGAUGUGAAAGCCCAGGGCUCAACCUUGGAACUGCAUUUAAUACUGCCAAACUUGAGAUCGGAAGAGGAAAGCGGAAUUUCUAGUGUAGAGGUGAAAUUCGUAGAUAUUAGAAGGAACAUCAGAGGCGAAGGCGGCUUUCUGGUCCGAUACUGACGCUGAGGUACGAAAGCGUGGGGAGCAAACAGGAUUAGAAACCCUAGUAGUCC
rnacentral:rRNA from 1 species